rnacentral:rRNA from 1 species
GAGUUUGAUCCUGGCUCAGGAUGAACGCUGGCGGCGUGCUUAACACAUGCAAGUCGAACGGUGAAGCAGAGCUUGCUCUGUGGAUCAGUGGCGAACGGGUGAGUAACACGUGAGCAAUCUGCCCCUGACUCUGGGAUAAGCGCUGGAAACGGCGUCUAAUACCGGAUACGAGCUGCGACCGCAUGGUCAGUAGCUGGAAAGAAUUUCGGUCAGGGAUGAGCUCGCGGCCUAUCAGCUUGUUGGUGAGGUAAUGGCUCACCAAGGCGUCGACGGGUAGCCGGCCUGAGAGGGUGACCGGCCACACUGGGACUGAGACACGGCCCAGACUCCUACGGGAGGCAGCAGUGGGGAAUAUUGCACAAUGGGCGAAAGCCUGAUGCAGCAACGCCGCGUGAGGGAUGACGGCCUUCGGGUUGUAAACCUCUUUUAGCAGGGAAGAAGCGAAAGUGACGGUACCUGCAGAAAAAGCGCCGGCUAACUACGUGCCAGCAGCCGCGGUAAUACGUAGGGCGCAAGCGUUAUCCGGAAUUAUUGGGCGUAAAGAGCUCGUAGGCGGUCUGUCGCGUCUGCUGUGAAAACCCGAGGCUCAACCUCGGGCCUGCAGUGGGUACGGGCAGACUAGAGUGCGGUANGGGAGAUUGGAAUUCCUGGUGUAGCGGUGGAAUGCGCAGAUAUCAGGAGGAACACCGAUGGCGAAGGCAGAUCUCUGGGCCGUAACUGACCCUGAAGAGCGAAAGGGGGGGGAGCAAACAGGCUUAGAUACCCUGGUAGUCCACCCCGUAAACGUUAGGAACUAGUUGUGGGGUCCAUUCCACGGAUUCCGUGACGCAGCUAACGCAUUAAGUUCCCCGCCUGGGGAGUACGGCCGCAAGGCUAAAACUCAAAGGAAUUGACGGGGACCCGCACAAGCGGCGGAACAUGCCGAUUAAUUCGAUGCAACGC